rnacentral:rRNA from 1 species
UACAGGGGGGGCAAGCGUUGUUCGGAAUUACUGGGCGUAAAGGGCUCGUAGGCGGCCAACUAAGUCAGACGUGAAAUCCCUCGGCUUAACCGGGGAACUGCGUCUGAUACUGGAUGGCUUGAGUUUGGGAGAGGGAUGCGGAAUUCCAGGUGUAGCGGUGAAAUGCGUAGAUAUCUGGAGGAACACCGGUGGCGAAGGCGGCAUCCUGGACCAACACUGACGCUGAGGAGCGAAAGUGUGGGGAGCGAACAGG